rnacentral:lncRNA from 1 species
CUUCUCAAUCAAGUUAUUCCAGCCGUGCACCUGGUUUAGGCUGCAGGGCUGCUGCAGUGUGAAAGGCUGCAGAAGACUAAUACGGAGAAGAAAGAGGACAAAAGAAGCCUCAGGAUGGCUUCAGCAAUAAACAAGCCAUUAACAAUUCAUAAUGAGGAGGAUAUGUUUGUUUUUUCUGUGUGUUAAUUUGGUUCCCCACUAGAGAAAGACUGACUCUUCUCUAUUUUGUCUACUCAUCUUGGAAGAGACUGACAGACUGUUG